rnacentral:rRNA from 1 species
CCUACGGGAGGCAGCAGUGGGGAAUAUUGGACAAUGGGCGAAAGCCUGAUCCAGCCAUGCCGCGUGUGUGAAGAAGGUCUUCGGAUUGUAAAGCACUUUAAGUUGGGAGGAAGGGCUGUUACCUAAUACGUGACAGUUUUGACGUUACCAACAGAAUAAGCACCGGCUAACUUCGUGCCAGCAGCCGCGGUAAU